UAGCAGUGGCAGGAAGCAAAGGGGCCUGUAAAAAGGAACCCAGGAAAGUCCGCCCACCAUGUCCAGACCACUUCCUUUAGGAAGACGGGGAAAGCCCGUGGCUCUGGCUCAGAAACGACACGUCCUAGAGAAUGGGAUGAUGAUGGCGAAGCUUUCAGCGAUGAGAGUGAGUUCCUAAGAAAUCGCAACACGAUUUCUGGGAUGCCAGAAAUUAAAUAAUUUCUGUGCAUAACCCUUUGACGUCUCUCUAGGGAACGAUGAAACGGCGAAUCCUUGGUUGGUGCAAGUUCCGUUGUGAGCGCUCAGUAGAAUGCUUCCAAAGGCCAUCGCAAUGCACACGCAUUGUUUGGGCCUAACAUAAGGCGGCUUACGCCACUCUA
rnacentral:RNase_P_RNA from 1 species